rnacentral:rRNA from 1 species
UACGUAGGGCGCGAGCGUUAUCCGGAAUUAUUGGGCGUAAAGAGCUCGUAGGCGGUUUGUCACGUCUGCUGUGAAAGCCUGGGGCUCAACCCCGGGUGUGCAGUGGGUACGGGCAGACUAGAGUGCAGUAGGGGAGACUGGAAUUCCUGGUGUAGCGGUGAAAUGCGCAGAUAUCAGGAGGAACACCGAUGGCGAAGGCAGGUCUCUGGGCUGUUACUGACGCUGAGGAGCGAAAGCAUGGGGAGCGAAC